GAGUUUGAUCUUGGCUCAGAUUGAACGCUGGCGGCAUGCCUUACACAUGCAAGUCGAACGGCAGCAUGAUCUAGCUUGCUAGAUUGAUGGCGAGUGGCGAACGGGUGAGUAAUACAUCGGAACGUGCCCUGUAGUGGGGGAUAACUAGUCGAAAGAUUAGCUAAUACCGCAUACGACCUGGGGGUGAAAGUGGGGGACCGCAAGGCCUCAUGCUAUAGGAGCGGCCGAUGUCUGAUUAGCUAGUUGGUGGGUAAAGGCCCACCAAGGCGACGAUCAGUAGCUGGUCUGAGAGGACGAUCAGCCACACUGGGACUGAGACACGGCCCAGACUCCUACGGGAGGCAGCAGUGGGGAAUUUUGGACAAUGGGCGAAAGCCUGAUCCAGCAAUGCCGCGUGUGUGAAGAAGGCCU
rnacentral:rRNA from 1 species